AGUGAACGCUGGCGGCGUGCCUAAUACAUGCAAGUCGAACGGACAAGUAAGAGCUUGCUCUUAUGAGUUAGUGGCGCACGGGUGAGUAAUGUAUAGCUAAUCUGCCCUACACUAGAGGACAACAGUUGGAAACGGCUGCUAAUACUCUAUACACCUCUCUAGCAUAAGUUAGAUAGGGAAAGUUUUUCGGUGUAGGAUGAGGCUAUAUUGUAUCAGCUAGUUGGUGAGGUAAUGGCUCACCAAGGCUAUGACGCAUAACUGGUCUGAGAGGAUGAUCAGUCACACUGGAACUGAGACACGGUCCAGACUCCUACGGGAGGCAGCAGUAGGGAAUAUUGCUCAAUGGGGGAAACCCUGAAGCAGCAACGCCGCGUGGAGGAUGACACUUUUCGGAGCGUAAACUCCUUUUGUUAGGGAAGA
rnacentral:rRNA from 1 species